rnacentral:rRNA from 1 species
CCUACGGGGGGCAGCAGUGGGGAAUAUUGCGCAAUGGGGGAAACCCUGACGCAGCAACGCCGCGUGCGGGAUGACGGCCUUCGGGUUGUAAACCGCUUUCAGCAGGGAAGAACAUCGACGGUACCUGCAGAAGAAGCCCCGGCUAACUACGUGCCAGCAGCCGCGGUAAUACGUAGGGGGCGAGCGUUAUCCGGAUUCAUUGGGCGUAAAGCGCGCGUAGGCGGGUGCCUAAGCGGGACCUCUAACCUCGGGGCUCAACCCCGAGCCGGGUCCCGAACUGGGCGCCUCGAGUGCGGUAGGGGAGAUCGGAAUUCCCGGUGUAGCGGUGGAAUGCGCAGAUAUCGGGAAGAACACCGAUGGCGAAGGCAGAUCUCUGGGCCGCCACUGACGCUGAGGCGCGAAAGCUAGGGGAGCGAACAGGAUUAGAUACCC